UUGACUCUUCUGAAGGCCAAAUAUGUUUUUAUAUCAGAAUAGGCACAGCAUGGAAAGCACCAGGGCCAGCUUCCCUGCAAUGCUCCACCAUGGUGCCUCAACACUGGCCUGGGGGGACCAUCUCUAGAAAUGUGAAUGCAUUUGUUGGCCUCUCUACUGAGAAUGUCAACAAGGCUGUC
rnacentral:sRNA from 1 species